rnacentral:rRNA from 1 species
GACGAACGCUGGCGGCGUGCUUAACACAUGCAAGUCGAGCGAGGAAGUUCCUUCGGGAACAACCUAGCGGCGGACGGGUGAGUAACACGUGGGCAACCUGCCUCGUAGAGGGGGAUAGCCCUCCGAAAGGAGGAUUAAUACCCCAUCCUAUUGAUUUAUCGCAUGGUAGAUUAAUUAAAGGAGUAAUCCGCUACGAGAUGGGCCCGCGGCGCAUUCGCUAGUUGGUGAGGUAACGGCUCACCAAGGCCACGAUGCGUAGCCGACCUGAGAGGGUGAUCGGCCACAUGGGGACUGAGACACGGCCUAGACGCCUACGGGAGGCAGCAGUGGGGAAUAUUGCACAAUGGGCGAAAGCCUGAUGCAGCAACGCCGCGUGAGUGAUGACGGCCUUCGGGUUGGAAAGCUCUGUCUUCAGGGACGAUAAUGACGGUACCUGAGGAGGAAGCCACGGCUAACUACGUGCCAGCCGCCGCU